ACCUGUGCUUCUGCCUUCUUUUGGCCUCACUUUAAGUUUCCUCCCAUGCCUAAGUGGAACCAUCCCCCUUUGCCCAAGUUUCCACUUCCCCCAUUCAAAGGCUUCCACCACCAUUAUCCAAUAAUCCCUCCCAUCUACAAGAAACCUCUUCCGCCACCGUCCCCGGUGUACAAGCCCCCUCCAGUUCCCGUAAACCCACCUGUUCCAAUCUAUAAACCUCCACCAGUUCCAGUCUAUAAACCUCCUCCAGUUCCAGUAAAACCACUUCCUCCACCUGUUCCGAUCUACAAACCUCCACCAGUUGAAAAACCACAUCCUCCACCUGUUCCAAUCUACAAACCUCCACCAGUUGAAAAACCACAUCCUCCACCUGUUCCAAUCUACAAACCUCCACCAGUUGAAAAACCACAUCCUCCACCUGUUCCAGUUUAUAAACCUCCACCAGUUGAAAAACCACAUCCUCCACCUGUUCCAGUCUAUAAACCUCCACCAGUUCCAGUAUAUAAGAAACCAUGUCCUCCACCAGUUCCAGUCUAUAAAUCUCCUCCGGUUCCAGUAUACAAGAAACCGCAUCCUCCUCCAGUUCCAGUCUAUAAGAAACCACAUCCACCUCCAGUUCCAGUAUACAAGAAACCAUGUCCUCCCCCAGUUCCAGUCUAUAAAUCUCCUCCAGUUCCGGAACCACAUCCUCCGCCAGUUCCAGUCCAUAAGCCUCCUCCAGUUCCGGUAUACAAGAAACGAGUCCCUCCUCCGGUUCCAAUCUACAAGCCCCCUCCAGUUCCUGUAUACAACAAACCACUACCUCCCCGGGUUCCAGUGUAUACGAAGCCACUUCCACCACCUGUUCCAACCUACAAUCCAAAACCCCUCCCUCCCAUUCCUUACAAGCCACUCCCUCCACUUCCCAAGAUCCCUCCAUUCCCUAAGAAGCCAUGCCCUCCCCUUCCUAAGCUACCUCCUCUUCCCAAGAUUCCUCCCAAGUAUUUCCACCACCACCCUCCUCUUCCUAAGCUGCCUCCUCUCCCUAAGAUUCCUCCCAAGUAUUUCCACCACCACCCCAAGUUCGGAAAAUGGCCUCCUUUGCCACCCUUUGCUCCCCAUCAUCCUUAAGCUAUCUUGCAUUGUUUUACGCAUUUAAUGAAGGUGGUUAGUGUGAACAAGUUCCCCAGCAGUACCUCAUGCAAUAAAUGUAGCAACAAAAGAAG
rnacentral:lncRNA from 1 species